rnacentral:rRNA from 1 species
GUACACAAAAGCACAAACCCAUGUGCUUGAUGUCAACCAGGACUUGAUUUGUGUGGUGCCAAAUGACAUCCCUAGCUUGAUGGUUAUCACCAAACCAAUAUAUGUAUGGCAGCAACAAAUUUGUGGUACUUGAACUAGAAUACAAUCUUGGGUGCCUCAUCCAACAAGCAACGAGAGAGCCUUUUUUGUGGUUAUGCAGCGACAUGGCUUGGCUAAUAAACAAGAUAGUAUAUACGGGCGAUCCGGUGAAAGGAAAAAUGGAAGGCACGGAAGAAAAGAGAGAUGAUUUGGGCAUGAAUGGUUAGAUUCUGUGGCCGUGGAAGGCCAUGGAAUUGAUGGCCAGCAGACGUACCUGCAGCUGCAGCGUUUGGUCUUGACGGUCCAAGUCAUCCAACCGGCCGGCCAAGACGCUCAGAACCCAAUCUCCAGCGUGUGGCCUGUGGGGGAUCGGGAAGCUGAUCCACAAGCAGGGGUGUGUGUAUGCCGCCUCCUCCUCCAAGCUCCCCACCGCAGCACUAUGCCAAUCCAUGUGUAUUUAAGGCAUCUCAUAGCUGGGCCUCUAUACUUUGAGCAGCAGCAGUCAUUCAUCACCGAUCACCAGCACAGCCGCGCAUCCACCGUUGCUAGCAAGGUCGACCAAGCAGCACCGAGAUGGCUGCUGCCUUCUCCUCCACCGUCGGUGCCCCGGCUUCUACGCCGACCAACUUCCUUGGGAAGAAGCUCAAGAAGCAGGUGACCUCGGCCGUGAACUACCAUGGCAAGAGCUCCAAGGCCAACAGGUUCACAGUCAUGGCAGCGGAAAACCUCGACGAGAAGAGGAACACGGACAAGUGGAAGGGUCUUGCGUACGAUAUCUCCGACGACCAGCAGGACAUCACCAGAGGGAAGGGCAUCGUGGACUCGCUCUUCCAGGCGCCCACGGGCGACGGCACCCACGAGGCCGUCCUCAGCUCCUACGAGUACGUCAGCCAGGGACUCAAGAAGUACGACUUCGACAACACCAUGGGAGGCUUCUACAUCGCUCCUGCUUUCAUGGACAAGCUUGUUGUCCAUCUCUCCAAGAACUUCAUGACCCUGCCCAACAUCAAGAUCCCACUCAUCUUGGGUAUCUGGGGAGGCAAGGGUCAAGGAAAAUCAUUCCAGUGCGAGCUUGUCUUCGCCAAGAUGGGCAUCAACCCAAUCAUGAUGAGUGCCGGAGAGCUGGAGAGUGGCAACGCCGGAGAGCCAGCCAAGCUCAUCAGGCAGCGGUACCGUGAGGCUGCAGACAUGAUCAAGAAGGGUAAGAUGUGCUGCCUCUUCAUCAACGAUCUUGACGCUGGUGCGGGUCGGAUGGGCGGGACCACACAGUACACCGUCAACAACCAGAUGGUGAACGCCACCCUCAUGAACAUCGCCGAUGCCCCCACCAACGUGCAGCUCCCAGGCAUGUACAACAAGGAGGAGAACCCUCGUGUGCCCAUCGUCGUCACUGGUAACGAUUUCUCGACGUUGUACGCCCCUCUGAUCCGUGAUGGCCGUAUGGAGAAGUUCUACUGGGCUCCCACCCGCGACGACCGUAUCGGUGUCUGCAAGGGUAUCUUCCAGACCGACAAUGUCAGCGACGAGUCCGUCGUCAAGAUCGUCGACACCUUCCCAGGACAAUCCAUCGACUUUUUCGGUGCUCUGCGUGCUCGGGUGUACGACGACGAGGUGCGCAAGUGGGUGACCUCUACCGGUAUCGAGAACAUUGGCAAGAGGCUGGUGAACUCGCGGGACGGACCCGUGACCUUUGAGCAGCCAAAGAUGACAGUGGAGAAGCUGCUAGAGUACGGGCACAUGCUUGUCCAGGAGCAGGACAAUGUCAAGCGUGUGCAGCUUGCUGACACCUACAUGAGCCAGGCAGCUCUGGGUGAUGCUAACCAGGAUGCGAUGAAGACUGGUUCCUUCUACGGUUAGAACAUUCUCCAUACACACCCACCAUCUCUUGCUGCAUAGGAGGAGGUAAAGGGGCACAGCAAGGUACUUUGCCUGUACCGGCAGGAUGCACCGACCAGACUGCCAAGAACUUCGACCCAACGGCGAGGAGUGACGACGGGAGCUGCCUUUACACCUUUUAAGCAUGCCAAUUUAAUAUCUGAUGUUUUAUCCUUUGUACCUAAGUACCGCAUCGCAUCCAAGCGAUUGCUGGGCAUGUUUUGUUAAUAUAAAAAGAUAUUGAGUAUACCUAUUUGGUAAAGACAAAUAGAACUACUUAUCAUUUGUCACUCUCUGUAUUCAUUCCUUCAGUGGAGACUGCUUCUGCUUUAUUGCAAACAGAACAAAAAAGUACUAAUUUGCGCUUCAGCUUAUUAAUUAUUGUUGCACAAA